UACGGGGGGGGCAAGCGUUGUUCGGAAUUACUGGGCGUAAAGGGCUCGUAGGCGGCCAACUAAGUCAGACGUGAAAUCCCUCAGCUUAACUGGGGAACUGCGUGUGAUACUGGAUGGCUUGGAUUUGGGAGAGGGAUGCGGAAUUCCAGGUGUAGCGGUGAAAUGCGUAGAUAUCUGGAGGAACACCGGUGGCGAAGGCGGCAUCCUGGACCAAUAUUGACGCUGAGAAGCGAAAGCAUGGGGAUCAAACAGG
rnacentral:rRNA from 1 species